GGGCUCAUAGCUCAGUUGGUUAGAGCGUUCGGUUUACAUCCGAAAGGUCCAUGGUUCGAAUCCAUGUGAGCCCA
rnacentral:tRNA from 1 species